UACGUAGGGGGCUAGCGUUGCUCGGAUUGACUGGGCGUAAAGGGCGCGUAGGCGGUUCGUACAGUCAGACGUGAAAUUCCUGGGCUCAACCUGGGGGCUGCGUUUGAUACGUGCGGACUUGAGUGCGGAAGAGGGUCGUGGAAUUCCCAGUGUAGAGGUGAAAUUCGUAGAUAUUGGGAAGAACACCGGUGGCGAAGGCGGCGACCUGGUCCGAUACUGACGCUGAGGCGCGAAAGCGUGGGGAGCAAACGGG
rnacentral:rRNA from 1 species